CUUCAUUAUGUGCUGAAGUUCCCUUGAGCAAUGCCGCUAAAUCCCUACCUGUAGGUGGCGUGGCACACGUGCAAUAAUAUAGCAUUAUUGUGUUGCAUUUCUCGCCUUUUCAACCACUCGUUUACCACAGUGAGGAUGUAUUUGUAACUCGCACUAUCGCGCGUGGCCUUCGUGUCGUCGUCACUCGGCUAUGACGCUCGAGCGACACGCCCACAAGGCGCGCAGGAGUUCGCCUAGCAUGCUAAAUGCUAACGUGCGAUGUCAGCGAGGUGUGUGCGGACUCCUGCGCUGUUCGGAGCGGUCGCACUGGGACACAGAGGCCCAGUCGCACCGGGACACAGAGGCCCAGUCGCACCGGGACACAGAGGCCCAGUCGACCGGAACAACGGUGGUGUUGAGUUGAAACCGCAGCAGAUUUGUGGAGGACUUUAGACGGGGGAGACCGACAACACGCCGUUGAAUUCCCCGGAUGAGAACCACUAACAACCACCGCGUUACCUAGCAACCCAGCUGCGCAUAGAGGCUGCGGCCAGUGUGGAGUUCAUAUUGUUAAUGUCCACGUUGUCUGCUUCGUCCACCGUGAACUCUAAAAGGACCUUCAUGUCUCUGCUGUCAUGUUGUAUUCUUCUUUUUUAGUUGAACUGCCUGAGUUUAAAGACAUCCACUGCUGGCGGGAAAUGGAAUAACUAAAACAAUACAAUCGUGCAUUCAGACUUGCCAGAUUCUUUUCUAGACUCUUGAAAGACCAUUUUGAACUGCAUCCAGAGGAUGUGCCGGGUGAACACGAGGCAGUUCCCAGGAGCUUCCUGUUCCCCACAGGUCAGAGGAUCUGCCGUUGAGGACAGUCUGCGCCCUGGCGACCGAGCUCUUCCUGGCUCGGCUGGUUUCCAGAGGUACAACCCUCUUCUGUCCAUGCGUC
ensembl:lncRNA